rnacentral:rRNA from 1 species
CAAGUGAAGAGUUUGAUCCUGGCUCAGAUUGAACGCUGGCGGCGUGCCUAACACAUGCAAGUCGAGCGGUAACGCGGGAGCAAUCCUGGCGACGAGCGGCGAACGGGUGAGUAAUGCUUCGGAAUCUACCCAGUAGUGGGGAAUAACCAGCCGAAAGGUUGGCUAAUACCGCAUACGUCCUACGGGGGAAAGCAGGGGAUCGCAAGACCUUGCGCUAUUGGAUGAGCCGAAGUCGGAUUAGCUAGUUGGUAGGGUAACGGCCUACCAAGGCGAC